CGUUGGUUUCCCAGACCGCCAAAAACACCAGAAGAAGAAAGAAGAGGCGCACUCCGAACUGCUGUUUCAAAACAAAAGAUUUGCUAAGUUUUUGAAGCAUUACAAAUCUGUGAUUUUAAAGCAAUAAUUAUUUACAUCUUCAAGACAUGCAUUCAGAGGACCAGGAAGAACAUAAGUCCAUAAAGAUAGAGUUUAUUGAAGAUUACAGUGAGAUCAAAAGUGACCCAGACCCCUUCAAAGUGAAGCAUGAAGAUAUGGAAAAACCAAUAGACUUGAUGGAAGAGAAUGAGGAGAGAAAAGAACUGAAUGAAGCGGAGGAGAAACAUCAUGUCAAAACUGAAGAUGAAUCUUACUCACUGCAAACAAGAGGCAAAAAAUCUUUCAGCUGCCCUCAAUGUGAAAAGAGUUUCUUAUCCAAACAAGGUGUUACGUAUCACAUGAGAAUUCAUACUGGAGAGAAACCGUACGCAUGUGAUGAAUGUGGGAAGAGUUUUAGACAAGCAGGACCUCUUAAAUUACACCAGAAAAUACACAGCGGUGUGAAGGAGCAUAUGUGCUUUGAUUGUGGGAAGUCUUAUGCUACCGUUACCGUAUUGAAACUGCACCAGAGAAUUCACACUGGAGAAAAGCCUUACAAGUGUUCACACUGUGAAAAGAGAUUUAGUCAAUCAGGACAACUAAAAGCACACGAGAGGAUCCACACUGGAGAAAAACCGUACGCAUGUGAUCAAUGUGGAAAGAGUUUUAAACAAGCAAGCACACUUAAAUUACAUCUGCGUUCUCAUUCUGGAGAAAGACCAUUUAACUCUAUUCCAGAUUCCCUGAAGGACCACCUGCACGAUCAUUCAAAGGAGAAUCCUCACAUUUGUGCAUUGUGUGGAAAGAGCUUUUCACGUCUGGAUAGUUUUAGAAUGCACCAGAGAAGACACAGUGGUGUGAAAAAUCAUAUGUGCUUUGAUUGUGGGAAGACCUUUAUUAGAGAUGCUGAGCUGAAACAGCACCAGAGAAGUCACACUGGAGAAAAACCUUACAAAUGUUCACAUUGUGACAAGAGAUUCAAAUGGCCAUUUCAACAGAAGAAACAUGAGAGGAUCCACACUGUAGAGAACACAUGUGAUCAAUGUUUCAAGAGUUUUGUAGAUGCAGAAACUCUUAAAUCACAUUUGCAUUCCCAUUUCGGAACUAUGAUCUAUGAUCAGUGCAGCAACGACACAAAGGAGAAGCCUCAAAUAUGUUUUCUGUGUGGAAAGAGUUUUACUCAGGAGGGUGCUUCAGAAAUACACCAGAAAAGUGACAGUGGUGUGAAGAAUCAAAUGUGUUUCGAUUGUGGGAAUACAUUUAUUACAGCUUACACAUUGGCUGACUUUACAUUGGCACAAAAAAUCCCAUUUUUUACUCAUAUCUGAGACAGAUCGGAAUUAGUUGCACAAGAUUCUAUUUAUUUUUUAUUUUUUUCACCCCAUCUGAGCUAUUUACAAAUGUGCAUUUAAAUCAGGUACAUAUUCGAUAUGUGGACAUCCAACCUUCAUCUAAACACUUAUAUCUGAUUCCCCUUGGAUUUCAAAGCCACCACAAUGAGAGGGUCAACACGAUAUAAUUUUAUCUAGUGCUGUCAAUCGAUUAAAAAAUUUAAUCGUGUUAAUCACAGUUGUGUACUGUGAUUAAUCAUGAUUAAUCACAAAUUUAAAAUACUAGGAUCUACAUGUAAAUGUGUUGAAAAAGAAAUGCAUGACAAACUAGUUUAAGAAAACGGAACCUUUCACUCCUCCGCCAGGUAUUAGUCAUAAUCCUUAUUAUUCUUUUAUCAUUAUUCUUUUGUUUUUAUUCAGCCAUUAUCAGUCUGGCAAUAUAAUGUUUACCAAGCCACAUCGCUUCAAUCCCAGUAUACAUUUACCCAACUAUUAUCAAAAGUAUUUCUAAAUAAAUACAUAAAUUUUUAUUUAUUUUUUUUUAUUAUAAUGUACCGGCCGCGGUACAUUAUAAAAGUAGCCCAAAAAAACGCAAACCACGGCUCUGUAAUUUUUCCCGCAACUGUAUUUUUUCAAAAUAGCCCACUUGUGCCGUUACCCUGGCAACACUGGUUCGCUGUACCCUCAUCACACAAUGAUAGAUAACCUUCCGCGCUGCAGUGACGGGAAGAAGUUGGGGUCAAACCUUAUCAAAUGAUUAAUCUGCGUUAAAAAAAUAUUAAUGUGUUAAAAAAUUUUGAUUAAUCGCAUGCGUUAACGUUGACACCCCUAAUUUUAACAUAUGUUUGUAAUUUGCACGUGGGACAUGCCCCCACCAUUUUUUGCUGGGGUCAAUAUUGACCCACCAUUUUUUUACUAAUCAAACGACAGUCUCCAGUUGACUACCAGAGAUAAUAAAAAUGAUUGUAAUGCCCAUAAAACCCUGUGGGGGAGUGCUUUCACUGAUUUUAAUGGUACCAUAACUGAGGAAGUAAUGGAUGAACUGGGAUAAGUUUGUCUUGAUGGUAGCAGUAUGAGACUGGAUGUGGUGGAUAAUUUUAUCUGCUGUAUUUUUCUUUUUGCUUGGUUUUAUUUAGUUUAUGUAACUCUUAUAUUAUUGCAACUCAGUUUUUGCCAUGAAGAUAGCAUUAGAUGCUAACAUGGCAGUACAAUAAAUAACUAUUACUACUGGAUGAAAUGGUCAGAAAACAUCUGUUUUUGUUCAAAAGAGCUUAUUCUCAGUAUGUCAUUUUAGAUAUAUGCUAUAUGUAGGUAUAUCUAUAUCAAGGGUGCCCAAACUCGGUCCUGGAGGGCCAGUGUCCUGCAGAGUUAUCCUCACAAAGAAUCUUUAGGCAACAGAAACAUAAUAGGGAAAGACAAAGACAAGCAGCUAAAGAAUACAUAGCUAUCUGCAAAACCCAGGUGCUGCUCCAAAACGUGGCCACCAUCUUUGCUCACCAUCCACUUUGUUAGUGACAGAAAUAUUUUCUCUGAAAAACAAGAAGUAGAAAUAGCACACUUUUAAAAGGUAAACCCCAUACAGAAUACACAAACCUCUCAAAACCAUAGUUGUUCUCUUACCAUGAAUUAUCAGUCUCAGGGUGGCUGGCCUGCUCAUGUCUUUCUUGAUGCUUCAUUGCAGUUGCCUUUAAAACACAAAUACAAAAAAUGCAGUAAAUCUUAAAUUCCAUUAAAAACUAUAACAAACUAAUUCUAAAACUAGAAAGGCAGCUAGCCAUAAAACUAGUUUAACCUAGCUAGCAUAUGAUUUUAUUUUCUCAGGCUACUGGCCAAUAACUACUAACACCUGAAAAAAAUUUCACAUUAGUUAAUCUAAUGUUAAUAUAAGAUAAGCGUUGCUCGUUAAAAAUAAUUUAAUUCGGUAACUUAAUUCAAUAAGAUGACAAAAGUCGUUUGAAACGACAGUAUAUUUUACCAUGGUAAAGUUCUGUAACCGCCAUGUUGACGAGUAAAUGUUACUGUGGGUUAAACUGCAAAACUCUGAUACAAACACAUAGACAAACGUACAUAUAUUUUUAUCUUGCUUGCUGGUCUUAUUCUCUCGUAAGGUGCAUCGACACACAGCGUAGAUGUUCUCCGGAGCUCUUCCACUCUCACGGGUUCAUCCCCGGACAAAACCCGCGGUGCUGCCCCGCUGCUUCCGUGUCUUCCUCGGACGCGAGUGGCGCAGCACAACUCGACAACAGUCAACAAUAUAGAACCCAUUUUAUAUAUAUAUAUAUAUAUAUAUAUAUAUAUAUAUUAUCUACAGUGAAUGCGGACAGUAAACUGAUGCCCCGGUAUAUUUCUGACCUACAGAUGUACUCCAAACGCUCGCGCUGUUUCUGACACGAAGUACAAACGGAUUUUCCAAUCAUUAGAAGCGAUGUAACACGUCCAGUGUAGUCAGUCUCAAGCUGUUGCAGUGUUGUAGACACGGUGCAGGGCAAAUUGUGUCGAUCCAAAUGUAAGAAAUGAGUUAAAUAAAACGACCCCAAUAGAAUGGUGCCAAAGAGACCGUUACAGCAAAUACAGUAGUAUACAGCAAUUUAAAAAAAAUACAGUAAGUCUCUAUGUGGGGUCUGACGUCACAGAAAAUUCCCAUGAUGCAAAGGGUAUUACAGUUAUUUACUGUAAAGGGAAUUUGCAGUAUUAUACUGGGUGAUAUACAAUAAAUAACUGUGGAAAUUACAGAAAUGUCUUAACAGUGUAAGUAAAGGAAAAAUAGUAAAGUAAUUGCAAAAUUCUUUAGGUAUGGGGCAGUGGGCAGUCUUGGCCUAAUGGUUAGAGAGUUAGACUUGUAACCUAAAUGUUGCAGGUUCGAAGGGCGUGGCCAAGUAUGCAGAAGUAUACACUAAUAUUUGGUAACAUACAAUUGAACGGUUUGCCUUAACUUAAAAAAAAAAAAAAAAACUUUUUAAAACAUUUUUUAUUAAGUAAACUUUUCUAUGCUUUGCACUGUGUCAAAAACAUAAAUGUUAUAAACUGAAUUUUUGACAUAGUAAAAAAAGAAGAACAAGAACAAGGAAAAUUGUUUCCCCAUUAAUAGAUAAUUAAAAACACCUCACACCUCCUUAUCCUCCUGUUUAAAUUGCUUAAAGAAAACACAAAAGAUACAAAGAGACAAACCCGUAAUCAAAUGCUGCAUUGACACAUUGUCGUAAUUACUGUGAUUUUGAGAUGACAACACGCCUACUUGGAGCUGUUCACACCCUUCGAGUCGGACUCAGAACUAUCACACUAUCAAUGCCUAAACAUGGCGCCUAGUGAAUCUGAGCUGGUCAGUUAGUACAAGUCAUAGCUCUUAGAAAACUCCCAGUUCACACUCCUAAACAAAUUAAUCAGGCUACUAGCCUACAGACAGGUGCGUUUCAGGGUUGGAGUUGCGUCAGACCUCCUUGGAUUACGGUAUUUAAAAAUGUGAUUUCACAAAGCGCUUCAAAACCCUCCUGAACUACCAAUUCAGUGCAUUUUCCACUGUGAGAUCGCAGGUUGAGAGGAUGGCAGCACGAGUGUCCUGCUCGCUUUUUGUUGUUUUGUUGUGUCUCGCCAAAGGACCUGUCACAGGUGAGGUCUUUUAAAUUCAUUAGCGCAAAGAAAAUAUGUAAAGAAAUACCCAUACAAAAUACGACUUUAUGCACAUGUCAGAACAUAUAAAUAUACAGUGUAGAGUUGGUGUAGUUUAAAUAGCCUAAUAAAGUUUAUAUCUAAAUCAUAAGUUGAUAUGUGUUUAUAGUUUUCCAUAGUACAAGGAAAACACAAUGACAAAAAUGAACAUUGUUUAUUUAUUUAGGAGCCGUUGAUUUGGAUAAAGAGUUGUUACCAGCAAAGCCAGGAAUGUGUCCAAGAAACAAUGUUGAAGAAGCAAUGAUGGGACUGUGUGCCGAGUUGUGUUCCCAUGACAGUGACUGUCCGGAUGAUCAGAAAUGCUGCAGCAAUGGAUGUGGACAUGAGUGUAUGGCUCCAUAUAAAGAAAAGCCAGGAGUGUGUCCAAGACAAAAACCUGGAUUUGGAGCAUGUGUUGAGUCGUGUUUAAAUGACGGUAACUGUCCGAACGAAGAGAAGUGUUGCAGCAAUGGAUGUGGACGUAAAUGUACACGUCCAUAUAGAGUGAAGCCUGGUCUAUGUCUCAAACCAAAUGUGUGCUGAUAACUCUUCCCAUGAUGAUCAAUAUCCUGCCAGACUGAAGUGUUGCCCAACCACCUGUGGACAUGCAUGCAGCCAACCAUGCCAAUUUAACCAUCGGGAAGUCCUUGAUUGUUGAUUGUGUUUUCUUCUCUCUCUCUCUCUCUCUCUCUCCAUCCUAUACUUGAGAUCUUUUGCAUUCAUUAAAUACAUCUCGUAGCUGAGUGAAACUUCUCUCUCUGUGUGUGUGUGUGUGUGUGUGUGUGUGUGUGUGUGUGUGUGUGUGUGUGUAUGUUGUUGGGGUGAAGUACAAAUCUACCGGAAAUAAAACCAAGAAUACAGGGUAACCCUAAUGCAAGAGAAAUGUAGUGUUUGUGUAAAUAUUAGUUUAAUAGUUCUGACAAACUUUCAGUAUUUAGCGAGUCUAAAUAUGUCUUUAAAGACUUUGAAUAUUUUUGUAUAUUAAUGUAUAAUUGAUACUUUUGACUCAAAGCUUUUCUUAAAAUAUGAGUGAAAUGUGAAGUUUAUCAUUUUAUAAAACUUUGUUUUUGUGAAAACCUGUAUCUGAACUGUAAAUCACUUUUUCCCCCAACAUUUUAUGGUUUAAUGUUACCAUUGUCGCACCUUGCUAAUACGGUAUGAAAUAUUUGUGUAGGUCUUAAAUGACUUAAUUUUAUUUAUUUUUUAAUUAUUUUUUUAAUAUAUGAGCAAGUAUAGGCAGCUGACUGAAAAGGUAAUAGCUAACACUGCACCCUCUGACUAAGAGCAGACUGACAAAUUUGCGCCGGUGUGUGACUGUGGCAUCAUGUCCUUGAUGAAAG